UACGAGGGGGGCAAGCGUUGUUCGGAAUUAUUGGGCGUAAAGGGCGCGUAGGCGGUUUGACAAGUCUGAUGUGAAAUCUCUGGGCUCAACCCAGAGUCUGCAUUAGAAACUGUCGGGCUUGAGUAUGGGAGAGGUGAGUGGAAUUUCCGGUGUAGCGGUGAAAUGCGUAGAUAUCGGAAGGAACACCUGUGGCGAAAGCGGCUCACUGGACCAUAACUGACGCUGAGGCGCGAAAGCUAGGGGAGCGAACGGG
rnacentral:rRNA from 1 species